GUGCUCACUUGGCAGCACACACACGAAAACUGGAACAGGAGGUUGGCACAGCCUGCGCAAGGAUGACACACAAACUCCUGAAGCACUCCAGGUUUUU
rnacentral:snRNA from 1 species